rnacentral:rRNA from 1 species
GACGAACGCUGGCGGCGUGCUUAACACAUGCAAGUCGAACGGAAAGGCCUCUUUCGGGGGGUACUCGAGUGGCGAACGGGUGAGUAACACGUGAGUAACCUGCCCUUGACUUUGGGAUAACUUCAGGAAACUGGGGCUAAUACCGGAUAGGAGCUCCUGCUGCAUGGUGGGGGUUGGAAAGUUUCGGCGGUUGGGGAUGGACUCGCGGCUUAUCAGCUUGUUGGUGGGGUAGUGGCUUACCAAGGCUUUGACGGGUAGCCGGCCUGAGAGGGUGACCGGCCACAUUGGGACUGAGAUACGGCCCAGACUCCUACGGGAGGCAGCAGUGGGGAAUAUUGCACAAUGGGUGGAAGCCUGAUGCAGCAACGCCGUGUGCGGGAUGACGGCCUUCGGGUUGUAAACCGCUUUCGCUCAUGACGAAGCUUUGUGUGACGGUAGUGGGUAAAGAGGCACCGGCUAACUACGUG